rnacentral:rRNA from 1 species
AGAGAGAGACAUGCGCGCAUAUCAAUAAGCGGAGGAAAAGAAACUAACAAGGAUUCCCCUAGUAACGGCGAGUGAAGCGGGAAGAGCUCAAAUUUGAAAUCUUAAAGGGUUUCCCUUUACGAAUUGUAGUUUAAAGAAGUGUUUUCUGUUGAGGUUUUGGUAAAAGUUCUUUGGAAUAGGACAUCAUAGAGGGUGAGAAUCCCGUAUUUGACCUUUACUUUCAACUUUGUGAUACACUUUCAAAGAGUCGGAUUGUUUGGGAAUGCAGUCCAAAAUGGGUGGUAAAUUUCAUCUAAAGCUAAAUAUUGGCGAGAGACCGAUAGCGAACAAGUACCGUGAGGGAAAGAUGAAAAGAACUUUGAAAAGAGAGUUAAACAGUACGUGAAAUUGUCAAAAGGGAAGCGUUUGACACCAGUGUUGUUUUUCUGAAAAUCAAUUAAAGAACUGUUUAUGCUAAGCUGUUUAGACUUUAUCAGCUAAUCUGUUUAGUUUUCGAGCUUUUCUUUAAUGCACUUUUCAGUUAACAAGUCAACAUCAAUUUCUUUUGCUGUAAAAAAGCUUGAGGAAGGUGGCUUGAGAUUCGUCUUAAGUGUUUAUAGCCUCUUGCCUAUGCAGUCGGAGAGAUUGAGGUCUGCAGCGUAGAUCCUUCGGGGCUAAAUGCAUUUGUGCUAAGUUAUAGCAUUUUAUAGACAACUUGUUGACUAUGAUUUGUCUUGUAGCUUACUCGCUUAUGUUAUUUUACCUACGCUUAGGAUGUUGACGCAUGAGAUAUACGC